rnacentral:tRNA from 1 species
GCCUGGGUGGCUCAGUCAGUUGAGCACCUGACUUCAGCUCAGGUCAUGAUCUCGCAGUUUGUGGGUUUAAGCCCUGCGUUGGGCU